AUUUUGGGGGGGGAAAAAACCCUCCUGUGCAAGCCCUGAAGGAAAAGGAAAAUGGGAUCUCGAUCCCUGUCCCUGCAGAAUCUCAAACAUGGGCGUCAAAAGCUUUUGCUGGGAACAAAACAGCAAAAAAAGGGGAAUUUUUGGCAAAUUUUUUUUGACUUUGAGAGGUGUUUUUAAAAAUUUUUACUUUUAGUUUUCUGAGAAGGGUGAGACAAUAGAGAUGUUAUAAUCAGAUGUUAAAAAGAAAUGUCACAGAGAUAGAUAAAUGUUAUAAAUAAUAAAUAGAAUAGAAAUAAAUGUUACCAAAAUAGAUGUGAUAAUUUAUGUUAUUACAAUUAGAAGUUAACUGUUUUUUUAAUUAUAAUAUAAGUGCUUUUUGGUUUAUUAGUUGCAGUUACACUAGGUUGUAAAUGCUUUAAAGCUAAUCAUUUAAAAUUACUCUUUGUGGGGUUUAUUACAAUGUAUUUUUAUAAUUCUAUUUUUUAAUAUUAUAAUGCAUUUUUAUAGUUCUAUUUUUUAAAGUAUUUACUUUUAUUUUUUGAAACUUCCUUUUAGUUUAAUUUUUUUUUCUUAACAAGAAAAUAGCUUUAACUCUUAGUUUUAUUUUAUGCUAUUUCUAAAUCAGUAUUUCUCAUUUUUAGGUUUUUAUAUGUGAGCUUUCUACUAGGCUCUGUGUUUCCUCUUAGCCUAUAAAUUCAUUUCCCACAUUGUGGCACAAGCAGCUGCUUUCCAGGAGCCACUCCAGUCCCAAAAUCUUUUUUUUUUUUUUCUCCCAUCUGGGCUCUAUUCCCAACACUCCCCGUGCACAAACAACCAGAGGAAAUGCCUUUUCCACCCCAGCUCCCAGCUGUACACUCUGUCCCCGCAUUGUGGAUCCCUCCCUGUGCCCCUCUCUCCCCCCCCUCCAUUCACUUUCCCAGCCUGGAACAUGCUGGAAGAAUCCAUAUAAGGUGAGAAAUAUGGAAUAAACACCCCAGAGAAGCUGCAGGGCUGCUGGAAACUUCAUUCUCCCCAACGAUCUUGACCGAAUUCUGCUUUUCUGACGGCAAGGACAAAGGCCAGGCUGGGAGCAGCGUGGCUUCUCCUGGCAACCAACCCCGAAAACCUGGAGCAGAAUAAAACACGGAUCUUAUCAGCACUUAUCAGAGAGCUGUGCUGGCAAAAACAAGCCUGAGCCGUGCCCAGUUCCUUCCUCGGGACGUGCCCGCAGAGCUCCAGAAAAAAUUGUGGAUCCUGCUGUUCUCCCCAUCCGAACCUCUGAGCCCAUGGGAAAGCAGCUUGGAUAGGGAGGAAUGCUUUAAAUAAAAAUUUAGUGGCAGCAAGUUGUCCCUGCUCAGA